rnacentral:rRNA from 1 species
GCGUAUGAGGUAGUCCUAGUACAUGCAAGUCGAGCGGACAGAAGGGAGCUUGCUCCCGGAUGUUAGCGGCGGACGGGUGAGUAACACGUGGGUAACCUGCCUGUAAGACUGGGAUAACUCCGGGAAACCGGAGCUAAUACCGGAUAGUUCCUUGAACCGCAUGGUUCAAGGAUGAAAGACGGUUUCGGCUGUCACUUACAGAUGGACCCGCGGCGCAUUAGCUAGUUGGUGAGGUAACGGCUCACCAAGGCGACGAUGCGUAGCCGACCUGAGAGGGUGAUCGGCCACACUGGGACUGAGACACGGCCCAGACUCCUACGGGAGGCAGCAGUAGGGAAUCUUCCGCAAUGGACGAAAGUCUGACGGAGCAACGCCGCGUGAGUGAUGAAGGUUUUCGGAUCGU